AUAGCAGCAGUUGGCCGUGUUAACUACCUGCACAAAGGAUCUUCACUAGCCGUGAAGCAUGCCUCCGAUGUCAUAGAGUCGCCUGAUGGCACCUUCUCAUUUGGGUUCUACAACCUUUCAUCCACUGCCUUCACCCUGUCGAUCUGGUUCACCAAGUCGGCUGACAGGACCGUCGCCUGGAGCGCGAACCGAGACCGCCCCGUACACGGGGUCGGGUCCAAGGUCAAGCUGAACACCGAUGGAAGAAGCAUGGUCCUCACGGACUACGAUGGCACGGUCGUGUGGCGAACCAACGCGCUGUCCGCGGAGGCCGAUCACGCGGAGCUCAUGGACUCCGGGAACCUUGUGAUGAAGGAUCAAGGUGGCAACAUACUGUGGCAAAGCUUCGACCACCCGACCGACACUCUGCUACCAGGCCAGCCAGUGACGGCCACUGCAAAGCUGGUAUCAAAAGAUCUCUCACACCCUUCAAGUUACUAUACAUUGUGUUUCGACAACCGAUAUGUCCUGUCGCUCGCGUAUGAGGGGCCGGAUCUUUCUAACCACUACUGGCCUAACCCUGACCACAGUAGCUGGAUGAACUAUAGAAUCUCCUAUAACAGUAGUAGGAGGGCUGUGCUUGAUAAGCUGGGUCAGUUUGUGGCUACUGACAACACCACCUUUCGUGCCUCUGAUUGGGGCUUGGAGAUCAAGAGGAGGCUAACACUAGAUUAUGAUGGUAAUCUCAGGCUUUACAGCCUCGAUGAAUUUGAUCGGAGCUGGUAUGUUUCUUGGGUGGCUUUCUCCCAGCCCUGUGACAUACAUGGCCUAUGUGGUUGGAAUGGAAUAUGUGAGUACUCACCAACACCACGCUGCUCUUGUCCUCCCGGCUAUGUGGUCAGUGAUCCAAGCGACUGGAGCAAGGGCUGCAAGCCGGUGUUCAACCUCACCUGCGGCCAGCGUACGGGCUUCGUGCGCAUUCCUGAGACCGACUUUUGGGGCUCCGAUCUGAACUACACCAUGUCAACGUCCAUGCACACUUGCAAGGAGAUGUGCUUGGGGAGUUGUGCAUGUGUGGCAUUCGAGUACAAAACGUUCCCAAACGCCUGCUUCCUCAAGUCUGCUCUCUUCAAUGGCAAGACGCUUCCAGGAUACCCCGGCACGGCAUAUCUCAAGGUUCCCGAGAGCUUUCUGUCGCAGCCGCACACAUCUGACUCUGUUUUCCAUCAUGGUCAUGCUUGUGAUGCGUCAAACAAGCAGACCGUGAGCUAUACCACACACACCAAUGACGGACAGGGAACAAUGUGGCACUACUACUAUUGGUUCCUCGCUGUGUUCUUUCUUGUGGAGGUCUGCUUCAUUGGUUCUGGCUGGUGGUUCAUGUCAAGACAGCACUCGGCACGAUCAGAGAUCUGGGCAGCAGAGGAAGGCUACAGGGUGGUGACGGACCAUUUCCGUAGUUUUACACACAAGGAACUGCGGAGGGCCACUAAGAAUUUCAAGGAGGAGCUUGGCCAUGGGCGACAUGGCUCUGUGUACAAGGGGAUUCUGCACGACAGCCGUGUAGUCGCAGUCAAGAAGCUCAACGACGUGAAGCAAGGUGAAGACGAGUUUGAGGCCGAGGUGAGCGUGAUCGGUAAGAUCUACCACAUGUACCUGGUGAGGGUGAUGGGUGUAUGCUCAGAGCGCAGUCACCGGCUGCUGGUCUACGAGUAUGUAGAGAAUGGCUCACUGGCUAUGUUCUUGUUCGGCGACAAAGGGCCACUGCAAUGGCAUCAGCGGUACAGGGUCGCGGCUGGUGUGGCCAAAGGCCUCGCGUACCUUCACCAUGAGUGCAUGGACUGGAUCAUUCACUGCGACGUGAAGCCUGAGAACAUACUUCUAGACAUGGAUUUCGAUCCCAAGAUCAGCGACUUCGGGUUCGCAAAGCUGCUGCAGAGAGGCCAGGCCGAUCCCGGCAGCAUGUCCAAGGUUCGUGGAACCAGAGGCUACAUGGCCCCAGAAUGGGUGUCCACCGCCCCCUUAACUGAAAAAGUGGAUGUCUAUAGCUACGGGGUGGUGCUGCUGGAGCUAGUCAUGGGGUCUCGAGUAUCCGAGCGGGCUACUGAUGGCCGCGAGGAUGCAGAGGCUGCACUGCGGCAGCUAGAGUGGACAAUCAAAGAGAAGAUGGAAAGUGACGACCUGACAUGGAUUGAUGGCUUUGUGGAUCCUAGGUUGGAGGGUGACUUCGUGUAUUCGGAGGUGCUGUUGAUGCUGGAGGUGGCUGCUCUGUGCUUGGAGAAGGAAAAGAGCCAGAGACCGAGCAUGAACCAUGUGGUUCAGAAGUUCCUCUCAUUUGACUGA
rnacentral:rRNA from 1 species